rnacentral:rRNA from 1 species
GACGAACGCUGGCGGCGUGCCUAACACAUGCAAGUCGAACGGAGAAGUUGAUUUCGGUUGACUUCUUAGUGGCGAACGGGUGAGUAAUACAUCGGAACGUGCCCAAUCGUGGGGGAUAACGUAGCGAAAGUUACGCUAAUACCGCAUACGAUCUACGGAUGAAAGCGGGGGAUCGCAAGACCUCGCGCGGACGGAGCGGCCGAUGGCAGAUUAGGUAGUUGGUGGGAUAAAAGCUUACCAAGCCGACGAUCUGUAGCUGGUCUGAGAGGACGACCAGCCACACUGGGACUGAGACACGGCCCAGACUCCUACGGGAGGCAGCAGUGGGGAAUUUUGGACAAUGGGGGAAACCCUGAUCCAGCCAUGCCGCGUGCAGGAUGAAGGCCUUCGGGUUGUAAACUGCUUUUGUACGGAACGAAAAGGUCCUUUCUAAUAAAGAGGGCUCAUGACGGUACCGUAAGAAUAAGCACCGGCUAACUACGUG